CUCUGUAAACCUGGAAGCUUAUCUGUAUGAUUGCUGUUAAAGAUCACUUGGUAGCCGAUUACCAAGAGAUAGCCAACUCUCUCAGGGAAUUUUUGGAAGACCAUCAAGGCUCACAUGUUUAACAGGAUGCUGGAGAACAAAUCUUCGAGCUCUGGAAGGCUGGGCAACAGAAAUCGCAUGGCUCAUAUGCUGCUGCUGCGAUGAGUGUGACUUCCAUCUGCCCUGGCGUUACUGCAUCCCUCAUGCUCUCAUCAGCCUGGAAGGAUUGGCCUGGGCAGUGAGAGGAAGAUCUGCCCUUUUGAUCUCCCCUAACUCCCAAGGCGACACACAAAAAGAAGUCCCAAAGAGUGACUGGGGUAGAAUAGGACAGAAAUUUGGAUGCAAGAAAGCCCAAACUAUGACAUAUGUCCACUACAAUAAUUUUAUUUCAUCAAUCAUCAUCUAAUGACUACUGGAUAUAAGCCACACCCUGUGCCAGGUCUUAGAGACCCAAAGGUUUCUCUGAUUUGAAGGAAGAAGAGAUUAUGAAAAGAAGAGAACAAGAAGAGAAUGCUGAGUGGGCUGUGGAAUCUGGGUGAAAAAGGAUAUGACAAAGAGGAAAGUCCUAGAGGGUCUAUUCAUCAAGAGAAGACUCAGGAACCUCUAAACUGACAACCACACUCCAAGUCCAGGAAAGGGGCAAGAAAUUUCUUUCUUUCUACAGGGUUCUGUCUACAGACUCCUUUAGGCAUAUUCCUCUCCAGGGGAGUUGUGUUGGUCCUGGGUUCCGGGCUAUAUAUCCAUCAUAAAAUUUUCCUAGCCUGCUCCCCAAACUCUGCAUGUGUUCUCUGAGUCAUCGUGGCCAGGACCUCAGCUGUUGCAGCCCGGGGUCAUUCCCCAUGAGGCGCUCUUCUGCAUAAACAGUGUUAUUCCUCUGAGACCCACCUCCCCAUGCUCUGCUUAUCCUCAAUGCAAUUCAGCACACAAAUGUUGAACGCCUGCUCUAUGCCAGACAAAGCAGGCACAGUGUUCUUAACAAUUUUGAGUCUUGCAUCUCUUUAAAAAUCAUGGCAAAACAUGACAUUAAAAAACAUGACAGCUGUGGACCCUCUUUCUAGAAAAAUGCGUGUAUAUAUGAAUUUUUCUAGGCAAUCUCCGGAAGCCAGAUAAAAUACUCUAGGUUAAGAAGCUGCUGAAUGAAAAGAAAGUGAAUGAGACUUAGACACGUGUGGGGCUGAGACUUAGCUCUGUCAUUUACCAACAGUAGGACCGUGGGGGAGCGCCCCAAACUCUCCGAACCUCAGUUUGUUCAACCCUAAAAUGGGACUGGUAAGACUUGUCUCACCCUCAUGAGAUUGUAGUGAGAUUUUAUCAAAGGAUGGUUAUAGACAUAGAAAAUGUUAUAUCUGAGCACUCCCCACAUAUGUGAAUUGAUAAGGAUUUCAAAAUCUCACCCUUUGGAAGGAGGGAGGUGAAGAUUUGUGAUUGCCAAUGUUUUACAAAUGAAAAUUCUGAGGUAAGCUAAAAUGACAGGCUUUGCCAAAUUGAAUCUAAUCUUAUAAUUCCUCAGGGACAAGAAGACGAUAAAAUAUUAGGGACUAUAGAGUUUUCCAGAUCUGUUUCAGGCUCUGAUCUCGCCUUUGGGAGCCCCCUCAUUUGCCAACAGGGUGAAGAGCAACCUUGGCCCUCAUUCCUGGAAUCAUUUCUGUUGGUUGAUGUCUCUCUGAGGACUGCAAUGCUCACACAGAGAAACCGAUUCAUCUGGAAAUCCAAUACACCCGUGAUUCAUUUGGCUCAGAACUAAUCCGGGAGGAGGUUUCUUGGGGGUAUUAAAAUGUAUUCUCUUCACCUUCAGUGCUUUAAUAGUAGUUCUCCAGGGUUUUUGCCCUUACUUCAGUUCUCCCAAGAUGAUUCUAGGUUGAGAGUUUGGAUGAUGCUGCCAGAAAUAUGAUCGGUUCAGAAUAUCUGAGCCCACAUGCCGUUGUGAAGAAAGUGGUGAAGGAUUCAAGCUUGGCUUCCAUUUGCCUUGGAUAGUUGUAUUGAACCUGGAGCAGAUACUCCACUAAUAGGUGGAUAAGUAGGAAGAACUGGAAAUUUUCUGUUCAAAAUACGGACAGAAUCUGUUCCUGAGAAGUUUCUAGAAGCUCUUUAAAACAUUUGAUUGUGUUUACUUCUAAAAGUAGAGCACAACAGCUUGGUGUACUAAAGGUAUGUCAGCAGCCCUGUGUGCCAAAGGUUUGAACAUCACAAAAGCUUAGGAAGCCAGGGAGGGAGGGAAGAAGGAAGGAAGGAAGGCCAACAGAAAAUCGAAGCCAGUGCAAAUUCAAUGUCAGCAAUUCCCAAAUGAACACGAACCAGAUCCGUAGCUAAUGACGAGAGCGAGAACGUGGUCUUGGAGGCACACCUCGGUGUAGGCUCAGUCGUCUUCUUUACAGGAGCAUUUCAUGGGAGGCAUCUGAAGACACGGACCCUCCCCUUCUUUACUUAAGACUUUUCUGGGCAGAAAAAUAUUGCAUUAAGUCUUUUUUCAGAUGAGCAAACAAAUAACGGCUGUUUGGAGAGUCACUAAAAAUACGGUGUAACAUUAAAAAUUAAAUAAAAAUAGAUCAUAACCCGGAACAUUUUUAUUGGGCUUUAUAGAAAAUCUCAGACUUGGGUAGACUUUCCUGCUUUUGACCCUCACAACAGCCCUGCAAGGCAGAUAAAACAUACAGCUUUUAUUAAUCUCAUUAUGAAAUCAAACUAAGGCUCCAUGGGCUGUAUAAGGCCACAGACUGUCCUGUCUCAGCUUUGUGGUUCUCUUCAAGUCAUCAGGCCACAGCAGGAGAGAAGGAAGAAGCUCUGAAUCGAUAGCUGGCCAUAGGGGAAGAGGAUGGAAAUUGGGACAUGGGCUCCUAUGAGUUCCCACACCAAAGGCCAGACACACUAGGUACAAUCCAGGGCUGCUUGAGUCUUAUGGUCCGAGGGCAAGCACAAAAUGAGGCUGGAUAGGGAAAGCUGAGAUGGCAAGGAGGCCAUUGGAGUGAUCUGCAUGGAUUCCUGAGGAGUUGGAGUGGCCCACAUCCUGUCGUGGGAGCGUUUUGGUAAAGGGUCCGAGGCUCUGCUUCCAUUGGCCUUUGAUGGUUUUGUUGAGAUUUGAACUGGGGCUGGUAGUCCACUAGUGAAUGGGAAGAACUUCAAACCCAGGAUUUUCUAGAUUCUUUAGUCCAGUGCUGUUUCUUCUUCAGUAAGUGUUUUGUGUAGAAAAAACAAAAAUAUGUAUGUGCAUUUUAACGACUUGUCUCUGGCAGCAAAAUGAAAACCGUGAAUCAACUAGAGCCAAGUCCUGUGUGCAGGACAUCCCCGACCUUAAUCAUACAAAGGUGCCUGUCAAAAAGGGGCGGUAAGUGCUGGGAAGUGUCUGCAUCGUGCCUGAACCACUAGGAACUAAAAACAUCCGCUGGAGGGGUGCUUCCUUUCUUCUUCAAGGAGGUAAGUAGAAGUAACCUCCCCACCUAUUGGAGCCAAAAUGCAGCUUCCCAUCGGUGAGCCCAGCAAUCUUUCUUUCCCUUGAACAAGGUUCCCAUGUGGGUUCAUGAGAAGAUGAGUACUUUGGGACAUUAACAGAGGUUAUCCAAAGAAAGGCUUAGGGGCAAAACAUGGUGCUGAGAUAAACAAAGCUUCAGCAGGCUUUUCACUGCAGACCGUUCAGAACCCUUAAUACUCCAGGUUGACUUGGCCCACCAUUGCUUCUGCUGGCACCACAGACCCUUUUGAGUCUCUGUUCCACUGCUCUGAGGCCAUUUCAUCUCUCACCAAGGCCUCCUGGCACGUCCAUUGGCUCUCAAUUCAGCUUUGUUGUCCCCUGAGAGGGUAACAUGGGGACUGUGGGGUGCCUUCCACAUCACCUAGGAGCCAAACUCCCUCCACUACAUCAUGCUGUGCCCUGAGUUUUCUCUGAUGUGGCUGCACAUGGAAGGUUGGUAUGGGGAGCUCACAGGGGAAUCUCCUCCCAGGGUUCCAAGUGAGACGUGAGGUAGAAAUGCUGUCCCGAGUUUCUCUCCACUCAUCUGCCACACUACCUUAGCCCAGAGGCGUGCCCGCCCAACUGCCGGUUUCUCCUUCCCUAGUCUCUUUUCUUUUCCCAUUGAUUGAGACUCUUUGACCUAAAAGGCUAGGAUCAAUCGAUUGUCUUCAGGCCCACCAGCACUGCACUUCUCCCUAAAGGGUCGGGAUAGAGGGACUUACAAAACCCUUCCCGCAAAGACAAAGCUUGGAUUCCAAGACUAUUUUCUCACUUCAAAAUCCUAGUUCGGAUGCUAGAAGCUAAACGUUAUCUCUUCAUCUUUCUUUGCAUCUAUAAGAUCCCUAAAAUUCCCCAAAGCAAAACAAUUCCCCUUGAAGAAAAAGGAGGAGUCAUCAGUACAAGAAAAAAAUGUAUUUGUAUGUUUUAAAAUAUUAUUUUGAUUAUCUGGGAUUUGCUGCUCAGAGAAUAGUAUGGCCAACCAAAUAGAGUUAGUGGGACCUAAAACAUUUAAUUGAACAAAAUGGGGGAUCGUUCUUAUGAGAGUUAGUGAAAAACAGUUAUUUUCAGUCUGUCCCCAGAGUUACAAAAUGCACAAAGGUAAAAUAAUGACAUGUGUACUGUACUCAACUGCCUCCAGCUGAACUGAGAAAGCCGGAAAUGCCUACUAGUCAGUCACUUCCUUGCCCGGCCUGCUGCAGACUUAAGAACCUUAGCCAAGCCCCAUGUGAACACAGAGCACAGGGCCAGAUGCAUGCUCUCACAGGCUCGCGCUAGGAUCAUAAUCACCCAAUAGGCUUCCAACCUUUAGAGUACUACAGGCCCAGAUUUUAGGGGACUAAGAUGAACAGUUCUACUUGAGAUUGCUCAAAUUUAUAGCUUCUGUGGUUGGAAGAUCUUUUAAAAUUAUUCUUAUAAAAAAUUGCAAACAUAUAGAAAGGAAC
rnacentral:lncRNA from 1 species